rnacentral:lncRNA from 1 species
CGUGCGCGACAGGCCUAGGCCGCACCUGCGUGCGUGCGCUCGGGCCUGGGCCGCAUUUUGCAUGUUAGGGCACGUCGGGCCAUGUGCUGCCAUGCCGCUGCCACUCCACCGGCCCGCCACAGGCCAUCGCCGGUCCUCCAUCGCUUCGAAUUUUGUGCCAACUUCAAUCGGACGUAUCUUCUUUAUCUGGAUUCCGUUUGGGG